GCCCAUAGAUUGUGUCAUCAGUCAUCACCCACAUCGCUCGCGCCCCCAUUAAAAAAAAACCCUCCUCCCCCUCCGGGCGGAGCUCCCGAAGCUCUCCCCUCUCGCGCGGCCCCCACCCACCCCUCGCAACCAUCACCGCUGCCCACCGUUCCCAUCGCCGCCGCCGUCCCGCUCCCGCGCCUAUAUCAUCGCCAUCUCUCUCCCUCCCCUCGCGUCCAUGCCCCUCCGCUCGCC
rnacentral:lncRNA from 1 species